rnacentral:lncRNA from 1 species
UAAUCAUCCAGCAGCUAUCCGGGUACAUUCGGCUGACUUGAUCCUCUUUAAAACAUCAGCCUGGAAACAGUAUCUGUAGAAAUCAGUUUUGUUAGUUCUAAAGCAGGGCUUCAUUGUUGGGAUGUGUUGUCUGCCUUCGUUAGCAGAUUUCAAUCAUAGCCCUAAAUGGAAGACACAUUUUAGGGCUGUUGCUGCUAUAGAACUCCAGGUCUUUCUGCUUAACGGUUUCACACUUACGUGUGAAGGGAGGACACCCUUGGCCAAAAGAACCAAGGCUGCUCAGUUAGCUGCUGGUUGUCCUCCAGCAAAUUCCUAGAACUAAAUACCUGGUGCUGAGGUGUCACGACUCAGCAAGUCCUAGAACCUGUGCUUAUGACAGCACUCUGAUAAUUCCCGGUUAUUGCAUCACUCCCUGAUGGAAACCCAGCUUUUAUUUCAGCAAAAGUAAUGGAUUGUUCCAGACCCCUGACCUCCCUUGAAGAUGUCUUUUUGUUGGAUCUGGCCCUGUAUAUUUUCCAGUUGGUUCAAGACCUAGAGAAAUUUCUACAGACUCUCUCAUACCAGAAUGACAAGACCCAAAUGGGAGAAUUAGGCCAGAAGCAACAAUGCCCUCAGGCUUAGUGAAAUUGACCAAAGUUUGAAGUUAUCGCAAACAGUGUGGCCAUUUCUCCUCAGACACUGGACAUCCUACAUCUGUUAUAUGGUUUACCAUCCAUCCACUUCCUUGCUAUAGCUCCAGGUCCACAAUUCUUUGUCAUGUCAUUGCUCUUGACCUAUACCAUGACUGAUAACCAUGUACAUUUUUAAGAAAAAAAUGUAAAUUAAUUAAAAUAAUUUAAAAACACA